CCACCUUGCAAGCCACCCUGCUAACACAUGGCCACAGAUCAAGUGUAGUAACUGUUCUUCUUAGUUUAAUCUCUAGGACGUGCCUACGGGUACAUCUAGUGAUUAAACCAGUUUUUGGAAACCGGUUGGUGGCCGCUGGGCUCCGCCUAUUGUCACUGACCACAGUGUCGCCAGUAUUGCACUGUCUCUGGCUGACGCGAACAUGG
rnacentral:snRNA from 1 species